GGCCCAAAUUUGAAGUAGAAUGGUUUAGUAGGGUCGGAUGAUCCUGCUAAUCUACUCUACUUCAAGCUCGCGCCC
rfam:Haemonchus contortus, ISE/inbred ISE, WGS project CAVP01000000 data, contig: Hcontortus_33739